rnacentral:rRNA from 1 species
UGCCAGCCGCCGCGGUAAGACGGGGGACACGAGCGUUAUCCGGAAUCAUUGGGCGUAAAGCGUUUGUAGGUGGGCUAGCAAGUCCAUUGGUUAAAUCGUUGUGCUUAACACAAUCAUAGCCAUGGAAACUGCAUAAACCCUCGAGUUAAGUAGAGGCAACAGGAAUUCCUAGUGUAGCGGUGAAAUGCAUAGAUAUUAGGAAGAACACCAAAGGCGAAAGCAUGUUGCUGGGCUUACACUAACACUCAGAAACGAAAGCUAAGGUAGCAAAUCGGAUUAGAUA